AACGAACGCUGGCGGCAGGCCUAACACAUGCAAGUCGAGCGCGCCCUUCGGGGUGAGCGGCGGACGGGUGAGUAACGCGUGGGAACGUGCCCUUUUCUACGGAAUAGCCUCGGGAAACUGAGAGUAAUACCGUAUACGCCCUUUGGGGGAAAGAUUUAUCGGAAAAGGAUCGGCCCGCGUUGGAUUAGGUAGUUGGUGGGGUAAUGGCCUACCAAGCCGACGAUCCAUAGCUGGUUUGAGAGGAUGAUCAGCCACACUGGGACUGAGACACGGCCCAGACUCCUACGGGAGGCAGCAGUGGGUAAUCUUAGACAAUGGGGGCAACCCUGAACUAGCCAUGCCGCGUGAGUGAUGAAGGCCUUAGGGUUGUAAAGCACUUUCAGCUGGGAAGAUAAUGACGGUACCAGCAGAAGAAGCCCCGGCUAACUCCGUG
rnacentral:rRNA from 1 species